GAUGAACGCUGGCGGCGUGCCUAACACAUGCAAGUCGAACGUGAGAGAUAGGUUGGAUACUUCGGUAAAAGACUUGUCUUGAAAGUGGCGAACGGGUGAGUAACACGUAGGUAACCUGCCUCGGAGUGGGGGAUAACCAUUGGAAACGAUGGCUAAUACCGCAUAUGUCCAUGGUAACGGGAGUUAGUGUGGGCAAAGUUUAGGCGCUUCGAGAGGGGCCUGCGUCCGAUUAGCUAGUUGGUGAGGUAAAGGCUCACCAAGGCUGAGAUCGGUAGCUGGUCUGAGAGGACGAUCAGUCACACGGGAACUGAGACACGGUCCCGACUCCUACGGGUGGCAG
rnacentral:rRNA from 1 species